AAUUCUUCCAAUCCAUGAACACGGUAUAUGUUUCCAUUUUUGGUGUGACUUCCUUAAUUUCUUUCUUCAGAGUUGUAUAGUUUCCUGAGUACAGGACUUUUAUCUCCUUGGUAAGGUAUUUCCUAGGUACUUUACUGUUCUUGUUGCUAUAGCAAAUGGGAUUUUUCCCUUGAUUUCUGUUUCUGAUAUUUCAGUUUUUGGUG